UAGUUGAUAUGAGAGGGCCUGAUUGAAUAGCAAACACCUGAGUGCCUUGACAAAGAGGUUAACCAUGUUGGUUGCCCUCAUCUUGAUUGUCAUCAAGUGGUAACUCAGGGGAGGAAAAUGGAGUGUGUGGAAAAAUGACUCAGC